rnacentral:rRNA from 1 species
CUUGUAGGUGGCUCGUUGCGUCGGGAGUGAAAACCCGCGGCUUAACCGCGGGCCUGCUUCCGAUACGGGCGGGCUAGAGUUCGGCAGGGGAGACUGGAAUUCCUGGUGUAGCGGUGGAAUGCGCAGAUAUCAGGAGGAACACCGGUGGCGAAGGCGGGUCUCUGGGCCGAUACUGACACUGAGAAGCGAAAGCGUGGGGAGCGAACA